rnacentral:rRNA from 1 species
GCGGACGGGUGAGUAACACGUAAGAAUUUGCCUUUAGGAGGGGGAUAACAGUUGGAAACGACUGCUAAUACCCCAUAUGCUUUCGAGUGAAAUGGAUGUAUUUCCGCCUAAAGAGAAGCUUGCGGCUGAUUAGCUUGUUGGUGAGGUAAUGGCUCACCAAGGCGACGAUCAGUAUCUGGUUUGAGAGGAUGAUCAGACACACUGGAACUGAGACACGGUCCAGACUCCUACGGGAGGCAGCAGUGGGGAAUUUUCCGCA